AGCGAACGCUGGCGGCAGGCUUAACACAUGCAAGUCGAGCGGGCACUUUCGGGUGUCAGCGGCGGACGGGUGAGUAACGCGUGGGAACGUGCCCUCUGGUUCGGAAUAACUCAGGGAAACUUGAGCUAAUACCGGAUACGCCCUUUUGGGGAAAGGCUUGCUGCCGGAGGAUCGGCCCGCGUCUGAUUAGCUAGUUGGUGAGGUAACGGCUCACCAAGGCGACGAUCAGUAGCUGGUCUGAGAGGAUGAUCAGCCACACUGGGACUGAGACACGGCCCAGACUCCUACGGGAUGCAGCAGUGGGGAAUAUUGGACAAUGGGCGCAAGCCUGAUCCAGCCCUGCCGCGUGAGUGAUGAAGGCCUUAGGGUUGUAAAGCUCUUUUAUCCGGGACGAUAAUGACGGUACCGGAGGAAUAAGCCCCGGCUAACUUCGUG
rnacentral:rRNA from 1 species